CCCUGUAUCGAAAGUGACCGUGGUGUCUGGUUGCCAGGUCAUUGAUACUACAGGGAGAGAAAACUGAAAGUCUUUCCCGUGUUUGCUAGACAAACGUGUUCUUGCCAAACCCUGUAUCUUUCAAACA